rnacentral:rRNA from 1 species
CCUACGGGAGGCAGCAGUGAGGAAUAUUGGUCAAUGGGCUUACGCCUGAACCAGCCACGUCGCGUGAGAGAAGACUGCCCUAUGGUUUGUAAACCUCUUUUGUCAGGGAGCAAUUGGCGCUACGUGUAGCGUUAUCGAUAGUACCUGAAGACAAAGCAUCGGCAAACUCCGUACCAGCAGCCGCGGUAAUACGGAGGAGGGGAGCGUUAUCCGGAUGUAUUGGGUUUAAAGGGUGCGUAGGCGGGUUGCCAGGUCAGUGUGAAAAUCGCGGGGAUCAACCUCGCGCCGCCGUUGAUACUGGCGGUCUUGAGUGGGCGAGAGGUAUGCGGAAUGCGAGGUGUAGCGGUGAAAUGCAUAGAUAUCACGCAGAACUCCGAUUGCGAAGGCAGCAUACUGGCGCACAACUGACGCUGAAGCACGAAAGCGUGGGUAUCGAACAGGAUUAGAUACCCUUGUAGUC